CACAAUUUCAUUCCGCGAUUCCCGUUUUGCAGCAACAUUGGAGUCAUGCCGUCACGUGACUGACCCAAGUUUUAUUUGCGCGAGUGGACACUAUUUGGGCCGUUAUUACGUAUUCCUUCUUCCCACGUCAUGGCUUGAUUCCGCAGGUCCGAGGCCGCGUCCGACAUUGCCGCCUCCUCGUCAUGCCUCGUCUCAUCGCUCUGUUCUCCCGUUUAUCUGCGCAGAGUUCCUGCUGCCAGUCGUGGCGUGUCUCGGACUGCUUUGCGCUCUCGGAGCGUUCGCCUACCCGGCCGACCCCGAGUGCCACUUCACGGGCUUCCUGCUGAGCGUGCACGAAGCCGUGCGUCACCUGCGCUCCGAGCACGUGAGUGAUGACGCUGCAGAGCGCGCGCACGCGCUUCCCCCCCCCCCAGCAGCGUGACGUCACGAAGUACCGCUUUUAACGUACCCUCUCGUUCACAGUCUCGCGUGCAGCUGCAGUGCGCAUCGUCCGAGUGCGAGAGCGAGCUGAGCGGGGCCUGCCCGCCCGCGUGCCGCUCGUGCGCACUCGUGCUCGCGCCCUGCCGGGAUCCCGCGCGCCUCUCCGUGAGUUACCUGAAAAACCACCGAGAACCACGAAAUCUCGAGUUCGAAUUGGUGCAGCGACAUGGCGCGGAGUGCGUGACGAGCGGUCGGUGUUGUCGUUCUCUUCCCGCAGGAGUGCUUCGACCGCAUCUCGAGCGUCAUGCGAGGGUACGACGACUCGCUGCAAGCUUUCCAACAGACGCUGUCGCCUCCCGUCGCAGGAGAGUCGCCGCUGUCUCUGUGUAAGCCGAAUGAAGUGGGAACGCUCAACUCCACCAUCAAUCGAGUUCAGAAUGCUCUCGCUGCACUCAAGAGUGGAGACGCUCUGCAGCCUGCAUCCAACCCAGCCCAGAACAUCACUUUCAUUGAUCCCGGGAUCACCGAGCCCUCGUGCUGGGAUGAGAAAGUCGGCACACACCUGUUCCUGCGCAAGUUUGAAUGGUGCACAAGGCGAGCGUACAGGGCCGCGAUCAGCGGGCCUUGUCGGCCCAUUUUGGUUUGAAUUUCCGUUCGACCCUUCACGUUCUUCAAAGGGUACAAUACAUGGAAUUCUCAACACAGGAGGAGGCCGUCAGGCCUCUCAUGCCCAAACCACAUGCACACCUCCUCACCCUUCAGCACAACAACCAAACCCACAGCACAAACCCGAUCCACCCUGGCACGCACUCGGUGCAAAGGGGAUGGGUGGGGGGGGGGAAGAGGUACGUCCAUCACAUGAACAAUCACAAAAUCUAAAUCCCAUCUUCGGUUUGAAUGUGACCACCACUGAUCAGCACAAUCACAACGCAAGCAAUCGACACGCCAUUUUGGUCUCAACAAAAUCAAUGCUCGUAUUUUAUGACGAUAAGUUAAUGUAUUGACCUCUGUAGUGAAACGAAUCCUCUUUGGAAGAAAUUUCUAUAUUUAUUUAUCAUUUAUAUUGCAGCAGAAUUAUUUUUAUUGGCAUAUUUUUGAUAUCAUCAUCAUCAUCA
rnacentral:lncRNA from 1 species